GAAUAUUGGACAAUGGGGGCAACCCUGAUCCAGCCAUGCCGCGUGUGUGAAGAAGGCCUUUUGGUGGUAAAGCCCUUUAAGCAGUGAAGAAGACUCCAUGGUUAAUCCCCAGGGACGAGGACUUUAGCUGCAGAAUAGGCACCGGCUAACUCUGUGCAAGCAGCCGCGGUAAUACAGAGGGUGCAAGCGUUAAUCGGAAUUACUGGGCGUAAAGCGAGCGUAGGUGGCUUGAUAAGUCAGAUGUGAAAUCCCCGGGCUUAACCUGGGAACUGCAUCUGAUACUGUUAGGCUAGAAUAGGUGAGAGGAAGGUAGAAUUCCAGGUGUAGCGGUGAAAUGCGUAGAGAUCUGGAGGAAUACCGAUGGCGAAGGCAGCCUUCUGGCAUCAUAUUGACACUGAGGUUCGAAAGCGUGGGUAGCAAAC
rnacentral:rRNA from 1 species